UAGGGAAUCUUCCACAAUGGGCGCAAGCCUGAUGGAGCAACGCCGCGUGAGUGAAGAAGGUCUUCGGAUACGUAAAACUCUGUUGUUAGAGAAGAACACGAGUGAGAGUAACUUGUUCAUUCGAUGGACGGUAUCUAACCAGCAAGUCACGGCUAACUACGUGUCAG
rnacentral:rRNA from 1 species